UUUUCCGUUGAGGUGACAUGAGCCCUGAGAGUGGCCUAAGACAUCUCUAAGUAACUCGAUUACUUGAAAAACAUCUUUAUUGAUAUUAGUUUAUUAAAUAUAUUUAUUCAACACUGCAUGGCUCAAGCAGGAGAACCAGCAAUUAUUUUAUUGUUCUAUACAACAACAUUUUGGAAUUUGAACAUUAUGGGUCUUGCAAUAGUGUCUGAAUCGAUGCCGCAUUAUACGAUGACACAUGUCUUCACACCUCGGGCUAUUACAGGGAUUGAGAGUCUCACAAACCACAUUAUGAACAGAUUCUGCAAAUGCAACAUGUACACACAGAUCAAACAAGAUAUAUUAGCAAUGUGUUGACUAAUUUGAACAAUAGGAAAGUUCACAAAAAGUAGGGGUAUAAAAUGCAACAUACCAGUGCCUGCAUGGCAGGAUGGGAAGGUAGAACACACCAUGGAAAGCACCAUGAAAGCAAUAGCAAUGGAACACAUGACUGUCGGCCAUCCUCCACUGUUCUUAGCGAGUGCCAUGAGGACAAAGAGAUUAGUGUUUUUCUGCUUCUCC
rnacentral:lncRNA from 1 species